GCAGUCCUUAGCUUCCCGGGGACAGGAAACCUUCAACACCGAGCUGCCACGGCCGCCUCCCCGCCCGCCCCCCAUUCUACGCGCCUGCCCACACCCUCCUCCCCUCCUUCCAGCGCCUUUCGGUGGAGCACUGCGGCACUCAGCCCGAGCUGCCGUUUUCCCCUCGCGGGGAACGCUGUGACCCCCCCGCAGGAGCGGCGGGGCGGGGUGGGGGGGCCCGGGAGAAGAUGGCGACGCCGGGAAGCGAACCCCAACCUUUCGUCCCGGCCCUUUCGGUAGCUACUCUGCACCCACUUCAUCAUCCCCACCACCACCACCAUCAGCACCACGGAGGAACCGGCGCCCCCGGCGGGGCGGGUGGUGGCGGCGGUGGUAGCGGGGGCUUCAACCUGCCCUUGAACCGGGGUCUGGAGCGCGCGCUUGAGGAGGCGGCCAACUCCGGGGGGCUGAACCUGAGCGCCAGGAAAUUGAAGGAAUUUCCCCGUACCGCAGCCCCCGGGCACGACCUCUCGGACACGGUGCAGGCAGACUUAUCUAAAAACAGACUGGUUGAAGUUCCAAUGGAAUUGUGCCAUUUUGUAUCACUGGAAAUUCUUAAUCUGUAUCACAACUGUAUCAGAGUCAUUCCUGAGGCCAUCGUUAAUCUGCAGAUGCUGACUUACCUGAACUUGAGUCGAAAUCAGCUGUCUGCCCUGCCUGCCUGCCUGUGUGGUCUGCCUCUCAAAGUCUUAAUCGCAAGUAACAACAAACUUGGAUCAUUACCAGAAGAGAUAGGUCAGCUCAAACAGUUAAUGGAGCUGGAUGUCAGCUGCAACGAGAUCACAGCGUUGCCCCAGCAGAUAGGUCAGUUGAAAUCUCUACGAGAACUGAAUGUCAGAAGAAAUUACCUUAAAGUUUUACCACAAGAACUAGUAGAUCUUCCCUUGGUAAAGUUUGACUUUUCCUGCAACAAAGUGCUCGUGAUUCCAAUUUGUUUUAGAGAGAUGAAGCAGCUGCAAGUGUUACUACUUGAGAAUAACCCUCUGCAGUCUCCUCCAGCACAGAUUUGCACAAAGGGCAAAGUUCACAUAUUUAAGUAUCUGAGCAUACAAGCAUGCCAGAUUAAGACAGCUGACUCCCUUUAUCUCCACACCAUGGAGAGGCCACAUUUACACCAGCACGUGGAAGAUGGCAAGAAGGAUUCUGAUUCGGGAGUUGGAAGUGAUAAUGGAGAUAAGCGAUUAUCUGCCACCGAGCCUUCUGAUGAAGACACUGUUAGCCUCAAUGUGCCAAUGUCAAACAUCAUGGAAGAAGAACAGAUCAUCAAGGAGGACUCGUGCCAUCGCCUUAGCCCCGUUAAAGGGGAAUUUCAUCAGGAAUUUCAACCGGAGUCUUCCCUUUUGGGUGACAGCACCAACUCAGGAGAAGAAAGAGACCAGUUUACUGAUAGAGCAGAUGGUCUCCAUUCGGAAUUUAUGAACUAUAAGGCAAGGGCAGAAGACUGUGAAGAGCUGUUACGGAUAGAAGAGGAUGUGCACUGGCAAACUGAGGGCAUAAUAAGUUCAUCCAAAGAUCAGGACAUGGAUAUAGCAAUGAUCGAGCAGCUGAGAGAAGCAGUAGAUUUGCUGCAAGAUCCCAAUGGAUUAAGCACAGAUAUUACAGAGAGAAGUGUUUUAAACCUAUAUCCUAUGGGAUCAGCAGAAGCCUUAGAAUUACAAGAUUCUGCACUGAAUGGUCAAAUACAGCUGGAGACAUCUCCGGUGUGUGAGGUAAGGCUGCUGGUGGAUUCACCAGAACUCUGUGCAAUAUUUUGCCAUGGAAUACUGGCCACCACAUUCUGUAAAGAUUUGUCAGGGAGUGAAACAUCUUUAUUAAUGAGGCCAAUAUUCAGAUUUGUUCAGGACACAUUUUUCAACUUGUUUAUACGUUUGCCUCUUUAGUUCUGCUUUUCUGCUAUACCUCACCCUCUGUUGAAGAUGAGAGUUGGCUAUUUCUAUUAGAUUCUGUAGAUUUUUUACCUCAGAUCAUCUUGCUGAGUCAAGCGACGGCAACUAAAAUACAUAGGGAAUCUGCCUGUGUGUCAG
rnacentral:sRNA from 1 species